rnacentral:rRNA from 1 species
CGGGUGAGUAACACGUGGGUAACCUGCCCCGAUGAUUGGGACAACCCGAGGAAACUCGGGCUAAUACCGAAUGUGCCCUAUGGCCUCAAGGCCGCUAGGGGAAAGGAAGCUUCGGCCUCCGCAUCGGGAUGGGCCCGCGGCCCAUUAGUUUGUUGGUGAGGUAAUGGCUCACCAAGGCGACGAUGGGUAGCUGGUCUGAGAGGACGAUCAGCCACACUGGGACUGAGACACGGCCCAG